rnacentral:rRNA from 1 species
UACGGAGGGGGCUAGCGUUGUCCGGAAUUAUUGGGCGUAAGAGCUCGUAGGCGGUCUGUCGCGUCGGAUGUGAAAACCCAGGGCUCAACCCUGGGCCUGCAUUCGAUACGGGCAGACUAGAAUUCGGUAGGGGAGUCUGGAAUUCCCGGUGUAGAGGUGAAAUUCGUAGAUAUCGGGAGGAACACCAGUGGCGAAGGCGGCGAUCUGGGAAGAUACUGACGCUGAGGUGCGAAAGCGUGGGGAGCAAACAGG